UACGAAGGGUGCAAGCGUUACUCGGAAUUACUGGGCGUAAAGGGUGCGUAGGUGGUCGUUUAAGUCCGUUGUGAAAUCCCUGGGCUCAACCUGGGAAUGGCAGUGGAUACUGGACGGCUAGAAUGCGGUAGAGGGUAGUGGAAUUCCCGGUGUAGCGGUGAAAUGCGUAGAUAUCGGAAGGAACACCAGUGGCGAAAGCGACUUCCUGGUCCAGCAUCGACGUUCAGGCACGAAAGCGUGGGGAGCAAACAGG
rnacentral:rRNA from 1 species